ACGACCAUAUCAUGUUAAAACACCGGUUCUCGUACGAGCAACGAAGUUGAGCAACGUUGAAUCUGACCAGUACCUUAAUGGGUGACAGCUUGGGAAUACCAGGUACUGUA